rnacentral:rRNA from 1 species
AUCAAUAAGCGGAGGAAAAGAAAAUAACAAUGAUUCCCCUAGUAACGGCGAGUGAACAGGGAAAAGCUCACAGUUGGAACCUAGCUGCCUUAGGUAGUUCGGAUUGUAAACUGAAAAAGUGUUAUCCAGGCUAGCCGAGUAAAUAAGUUUCUUGGAACAGAACAUCAUGGAGGGUGAGAAUCCCGUCUUUGGCUUGAGCAUAGUCUUUUGUGUUGCACUUUAACGAGUCAGGUUGUUUGGGAAUGCAGCCUAAAGUGGGAGGUAAAUCCCUCCUAAAGCUAAAUAUUGGCGAGAGACCGAUAGCAAACAAGUACCGUGAGGGAAAGAUGAAAAGAACUUUGAAAAGAGAGUUAAACAGUAUGUGAAAUUGCUAAAAGGGAAGCGUUUGAAGACAGACUAGCUUGGUUAUAAUCAGCCUGGAUUUUUCUUGGUGUACUUGUAGCCUAUGCUUGUCAACAGCAGUUUGGUCUGGCUGAAAAAACUGAUAGUAAGGUGGCUCUCUUCGGGGAGUGUUAUAGACUGUUAGAAAAUCAGUUGGACUGGACUGAGGAAUGCAAUGCAGCUUGCCUUGGGGUGAACCAGAUUGGAUAGGAACCAUUGUUCUUUGAAGGUUUGGGUAGCUCUCGAACUGUAUUAGUUGU